CGUGUAGGCGGACCCGCAAGUCGGACGUGAAAUCCCUGAGCUCAACUCAGGAACUGCAUCCGAAACUGCGGGCCUGGAGUGGUGGAGAGGGAAGCAGAAUUCCUGGUGUAGAGGUGAAAUUCGUAGAUAUCAGGAGGAACACCGGUGGCGAAGGCGGCUUCCUGGACACUUACUGACGCUGAGACGCGAAAGCGUGGGAGCAAACA
rnacentral:rRNA from 1 species